UACGGAGGAUGCAAGCGUUAUCCGGAAUGAUUGGGCGUAAAGCGUCCGCAGGUGGCUAUGUAAGUCUGCUGUUAAGGAGUCUAGCUCAACUAGAUAAGAGCAGUGGAAACUACAAGGCUAGAGUACGUUCGGGGCAGAGGGAAUUCCUGGUGUAGCGGUGAAAUGCGUAGAGAUCAGGAAGAACACCAGUGGCGAAAGCGCUCUGCUGGACCUUAACUGACACUGAGGGACGAAAGCUAGGGGAGCGAAUGGG
rnacentral:rRNA from 1 species